GGUUACAAGGAUGCCCAAUUUAUAUAUUGGAAGUUUUGUGGACUCUGAUUUCAACAAUAUUGCCACUGAGAUUAUUGAGGGCCAGAAGUUAUUAAAUCGAUUAUAGUGGUAUAUUACGAGUCUAGAGAAAUAUUUUCAAUGUUCUAUGUCACCAAGGGGACUUAAACUACAGACAUUUCUGGAUUUCAAGGAUUUCAAGAAAAUAUGGGAAAAGGUUGCAGUAACUAAGGCAUUACAUUGAAUUUAGAGGAAAAAGGAGCAGGAACCAAACUGAAAAAUUAAAGGGAAGAGAAAGUACAGAUCAGCUUUAAGUUCCUGAGCCCCAAACCACUGGUCCUGGGCCUUGGGGGGACUAUCAUUUCUGCACCCCUGUUACAAAUAGCAGAGCUCAUCAUGAAAGUCUUGUCUUCUCCUUUGCAUUAGUUUGCUAUGCAAUUGUCCCACAGUCGCUCUACUACUUUCAGCAGGUUAUCACUGCUAAUUUAGAGGUUUAAAGGUGGGUUAAACAGACCGACUGAUUUCUGGACAGGACUCAACCCUUUUUUAAGUUAAUCAACCCCAUCUCUUCCCCGAACAAGUUACUAUUCUAGACCCCAAAUUUAUUGGGUGUUAUGCACUUUGAAAUGUUAACUAAAUAUGUCAAUAUGGGCAGUAUAGUGACUGAAUGGUUGGCGCUGUGGCCUUGCAGCAUUACAGUCCCGCUUUAACAGCCACCUUGGGCAAGAUUUGCAAGGAGUUAAUAUGUUCUCGCCAUGUUUGUAUGGCUUCCUCCAUUUACUCAGGUUUGCUCCCAUACUCUAGAACAUACUGAUCAAUGUAUUUAGAUUGUGAGCCCCAAUAAGCAUGGGUAUGUGAAUGAUGACAAUGUACAGUGCUGCUGCAGAAAAUAUUGGUGCUAUAUAAAUAAAGGAAUUUUUAUUAAUAUAAGACUAAACAGUAGUGUGGCAUGUUUUUUUUUUUUAGAAUCAGUGCCUCUGGAAGCACCAACAUUUUCUGCACUGAUCUACAGUAUGUUGACUUGAAAGUCAUCCUUGUACUUCUUAUGCAUUUCUCAUGAAAUUCCUUUGCUUUAUAAUUAGUUCAGAAGUUCCAAACCUCCUUCAUCUGAUUCACAAAUGCCUCUAUUAUCAGCUGAAUGGCAAAUUGUGUUAUAAAGCAAUAAAAUAUACUGCAGUGGUCCCUUCUUGAAUUGGUCUUCUA